GCACAUCAAAUGAAGAAGCAGCACAGACAAAGUAUGCACAGACUUUGUGAGUGUGCGUUGAAGCAAGACCGCGUUCUUUGUACCCUCGAUCAGGGAUGACUCUUCAAUGUGAACAAGAGCGUCUGAGCGUGCGCGCAUGAGCGUGACUGCCCAGCAACACGGACGAGUCGAACGAGGCAUGGAGAUGAACAGAGGAACAAUGCAGGUGAGGAGCAACAAAGCACGAUCUAUCGCGCUGCAGUUGGUGGGGAGAGCGGAGAUGUGAGGACUGAUACACGGCGAAUGCGCCAGUGGGCUUUCUCACGAGGCGGAGAGAAUGCACCAUCUGUGUGUUGUCCCCCCCCUCACCCCAAUGAUUGAGCGCGCACGUGAGCCAGCGUUCGUUCCGUCGAGGAGCGUGAGACGCCAGCUCGUGUGCUUGAUCGCCCCCCCCCGCAAAAAGAAAAACAAUGCCACAACGACAAGGAGGUGUGUGUGUGUGCGAAAGGGAGGUUGCGCAGCACAUCUCUCUUUUCGCGUUUCUCUUUUCGUUGCUCUCCCCUUUUUUCUGCCUUCUUCUUUUCUGUGGGUGUGUGUCCCUUCUCACGUCAUAUGUCCGAGGAAUGAGCAGCAUAUGCGUGCAUAUAUAUAUAUAUAGACGACGCGGUGCGGCAUGAGAGCAGACGAGAGCCGUGCAGCCCCCCUCCCCUUUUUUAUUGUUGUUGCUGACUUUUCUUGUUCUUCCGCGUCUUAUACUUCUCCAUCCCUCCUCCUCGCUC
rnacentral:misc_RNA from 1 species